rnacentral:rRNA from 1 species
UCGGGAAUUUUGGGCAAUGGGCGAAAGCCUGACCCAGCAACGCCGCGUGAAGGAUGAAGUAUUUCGGUAUGUAAACUUCGUAAGAAUAGGAAGAAUAAAUGACGGUACUAUUUGUAAGGUCCGGCUAACUACGUGCCAGCAGCCGCGGUAAUACGUAGGGACCAAGCGUUGUUCGGAUUUACUGGGCGUAAAGGGCGCGUAGGCGGCGUGGUAAGUCAUCUGUGAAAUCUCCGAGCUUAACUCGGAACGGUCAGAUGAUACUGCUGUGCUAGAGUACAGAAAGGGCAAUCGGAAUUCUUGGUGUAGCGGUGAAAUGCGUAGAUAUCAAGAGGAACACCUGAGGCGAAGGCGGGUUGCUAGGCUGAUACUGACGCUGAGGCGCGAAAGCUAGGGUAGCAAACGGGAUUAGAUACCCAAGUAGUCCCUGAGCGGGCUGGCAAGGCGCAU